AUUGAACGCUGGCGGCAGGCUUAACACAUGCAAGUCGAGCGGAGAUGAGGUGCUUGCACCUUAUCUUAGCGGCGGACGGGUGAGUAAUGCUUAGGAAUCUGCCUAUUAGUGGGGGACAACAUUCCGAAAGGAAUGCUAAUACCGCAUACGUCCUACGGGAGAAAGCCGGGGAUCUUCGGCGCUCGCGCUAAUAGAUGAGCCUAAGUCGGAUUGGCUAGUUGGUGGGGUAAAGGCCUACCAAGGCGACGAUCUGUAGCUGGGCUGAGAGGAUGAUCCGCCACACUGGGACUGAGACACGGCCCAGACUCCUACGGGAGGCAGCAGUGGGGAAUAUUGGACAAUGGGGGGAACCCUGAUCCAGCCAUGCCGCGUGUGUGAAGAAGGCCUUAUGGUUGUAAAGCACUUUAAGCGAGGAGGAGGCUACUGAGACUAAUACUCUUGGAUAGUGGACGUUACUCGCAGAAUAAGCACCGGCUAACUCUGUGCCAGCCGCCGCGGUAACAC
rnacentral:rRNA from 1 species